GACGAACCACCCGAACGUUAUUCGGAAUUACUGGGCUUAAAGGGUGCGUAGGCGGCGCGGAAAGUUGGAUGUGAAAUCCCUCGGCUCAACCGAGGAACUGCGUUCAAAACUACCGUGCUUGAGGAAUACAGAGGUAAGCGGAACUUCGGGUGGAGCGGUGAAAUGCGUUGAUAUCCGAAGGAACACCGGUGGCGAAAGCGGCUUACUGGGUAUUUUCUGACGCUGAUGCACGAAAGCCAGGGGAGCAAACGGG
rnacentral:rRNA from 1 species